UACGGAGGGUGCAAGCGUUAUCCGGAUUUACUGGGUUUAAAGGGUGCGUAGGUGGGUAAGUAAGUCAGUGGUGAAAUCUCCGGGCUUAACCCGGAAACUGCCAUUGAUACUAUUUGUCUUGAAUUUUGUUGAGGUAGGCGGAAUAAGUCAUGUAGCGGUGAAAUGCAUAGAUAUGACUUAGAACACCAAUUGCGAAGGCAGCUUGCUAAACAAACAUUGACGCUGAGGCACGAAAGCGUGGGGAUCAAACAGG
rnacentral:rRNA from 1 species